rnacentral:rRNA from 1 species
UCCGUAGGCGGGCAAUUAAGUCAGAGGUGAAAUCCCACAGCUCAACUGUGGAACUGCCUUUGAUACUGGUUGUCUUGAGUUACAGUGAAGUAGAUAGAAUAUGUAGUGUAGCGGUGAAAUGCAUAGAUAUUACAUAGAAUACCGAUUGCGAAGGCAGUCUACUACCUGUAUACUGACGCUAAUGGACGAAAGCGUGGGGAGCGAACAGGAUUAGAUACCCUGGUAGUCC